GUUCAAAUAUGUGAGUCUAUGGUGGGUAUUUCUCAUCCAAGCCACAACACUCCCUAACUGACUCGCCACUACUGUACCAUUAUCUUGCCCGGCUCUUCAGUAUCGUUCAUCCAGAGACCAUAGGUUUUGAAUUUGUCCUCAUCUGUUCGUGUGAUGACUGUGAGAAAGUUCCCGACAUACACUGCACACUCAAGUGUGUGUGCUGAGAGGAGAAAUGGAGGAGGGAAUUGAACUCAGCCGAGACAUGAAGUUCCCUUUGAUGUCUAAGGUGCUAACUCGUGUGUGUAGCUCACUGAGACCGGAGAACACGCCUUACCCUCAGUCUGUUCAAACACCAAAGCCCCUGGAAGAAGCGUUUGCUUGGCCAAGCUUCUUUCACGGUCCAGAAGGGCAGUCCAGGACAUUUCUGUUGGAAGGGGAUUCCAAGCACAGAUUUGUGAAUCAACAAGUUGGUGUCCAGGAAUUACCAAUGAAACUUUUAGGGUAAAAGCCCUCUGGCUCCG
rnacentral:lncRNA from 1 species